CCUACGGGCGGCAGCAGUAGGGAAUUUUCGGCAAUGGGGGGAACCCUGACCGAGCAACGCCGCGUGAACGAAGAAGUUAUUCGUAAUGUAAAGUUCUUUUAACAGGGAAGAAAGAGAAAUUUGACGGUACCUGAAGAAUAAGCUCCGGCUAACUACGUGCCAGCAGCCGCGGUAAUACGUAGGGAGCGGUCGUUAUCCGGAAUUAUUGGGCGAAAAGGGUGGGUAGAUGGCAUAGUAAGUCUUUUGUAAAAAUGCUGGGCUCAACCCAGUAGGGCAAAAGAUACUGCAAAGCUAGAGUAUGACAGAGGCAAGUGGAACGACAUGUGUAGCGGUAAAAUGCGUAAAUAUAUGUAAGAACACCAGUGGCGAAGGCGGCUUGCUGGGUCGAUACUGACAUUGAGGCACGAAAGCGUGGGGAGCAAACAGGAUUAGAUACCCCUGUAGUC
rnacentral:rRNA from 1 species